rnacentral:snoRNA from 1 species
CUUCCCUUUCUUGGCAGGGAUUGGGCGUGUGGUCCCGGGUUGCAUAACGUACAGAGGCAGAGGGAAAGGGCCCUGGGGUUGCUUGGCAUCAUGUCUUCAGUACCGGCAGCUUCAGGCACCAGGACAAAG